GAUGAAGAACGUAGCGAAAUGCGAUAAGUAAUGUGAAUUGCAGAUUUCAGUGAAUCAUCGAAUCUUUGAACGCACCUUGCGCCUUGUGGUAUUCCACAAGGCAUGCCCGUUUGAGUAUCAUUAAAUCAUCAACUCUAAAACCUUUGUGGUUUUUUUUAGAGCUUGGUCUUGAGGGUUUUGCAGGCUUUUUUUUUUUUUUUCGAGUCUGCUCCCUUUAAAUGCAUUAGCGAGACUUCCCUAUGCUGAACCGUCUCUUUGACGUGAUAAUUAUCUGCGUCGAAUUUUGGUUCUCGUUGGGCUUGCUUCUAAUCGUCUGUUAAAGACAAAACGGAUUUGGGUGCAUAUAUGCGCCUUUUUCCAAAACCUUUUUUUGAUCUCAAAUCGGGUAGGACUACCCGCUGAACUUAAGCAUAUCAAUAAGCGGAGGA
rnacentral:misc_RNA from 1 species